ACGGGUGAGUAAUGCAUCGGGACCUACCUGAACGUGGGGGAUAACGUAGGGAAACUUACGCUAAUACCGCAUACGUCCUACGGGAGAAAGCGGGGGACCUUCGGGCCUCGCGCGGUCAGACGGACCGAUGUUCGAUUAGCUAGUUGGUAAGGUAACGGCUUACCAAGGCGACGAUCGAUAGCUGGUCUGAGAGGAUGAUCAGCCACACUGGAACUGAGACACGGUCCAGACUCCUACGGGAGGCAGCAGUGGGGAAUAUUGGACAAUGGGCGCAAGCCUGAUCCAGCAAUGCCGCGUGUGUGAAGAAGCCCUUCGGGUUGUAAAGCACUUUUAUCAGGAGCGAAAUACUACCGGUUAAUAACCGGUGGGGCUGACGGUACCUGAGGAAUAAGCACCGGCUAACUUCGUGCCAGCAGCCGCGGUAAUACGAAGGGUGCAAGCGUUAAUCGGAAUUACCGGGCGUAAAGGGUGCGUAGGCGGUUAGUUAAGUCUGUCGUGAAAUCCCCGGGCUCAACCUGGGAAUGGCGAUGGAUACUGGCUAGCUAGAGUGUGUCAGAGGAUGGUGGAAUUCCCGGUG
rnacentral:rRNA from 1 species